rnacentral:misc_RNA from 1 species
UUGUGGAGGAGGACGCCGAAGGUGGGGCUAAUGACUGGGGUGAAGUCGUAACAAGGUAGCCGUACCGGAAGGUGCGGCUGGAUCACCUCCUAACAGGGAGACAACAAAAUGUUUAAUAUUAUUAUUUUGUCACCUUAGGUCGAUCGGUAUCUCACGUUCUUAAUUCGUUAAGAAUUUCAUUUCCUAAGCUUUUCUAGGUCACACCCAUUAUUUUUCCUGGGCCAUUAGCUCAGGUGGUUAGAGCGCACCCCUGAUAAGGGUGAGGUCCCUGGUUCAAGUCCAGGAUGGCCCGUAUCUCUAUGUUGGGGGUAUAGCUCAGUUGGUAGAGCGCCUGCUUUGCAAGCAGGAUGUCAGCGGUUCGAGUCCGCUUACCUCCACUGAUUACCACCUCUUCCAUAACCGAUAGAAAGGAAAUGUUUUGAGUUGUGAUCAUUAUUCUGAACGAAUCUAGCUUCCUAAUGAAAUCAUUAAGAUGCUGGACUCAUUGAAUUAAUUUCAUUGUUUUCAGAGAACCUUGACAACUGCAUAGAUUAUUUUUAAAGACAAUAAGCAUCUUUAAUGAUGCAGAUUUAUUAUUUGUGCGAAUGCAUUAAUAACAAUUCUAUUAAGCUGAUGCUUCAAUUUUGAAGUUAUUGGUCAAGCUACAA